ACGGGCUUCCUUCGACAGAGCAA
rnacentral:miRNA from 1 species